GACGAACGCUGGCGGCGUGCUUAACACAUGCAAGUCGAACGGAAAGGCCCUGCUUUUGUGGGGUGCUCGAGUGGCGAACGGGUGAGUAACACGUGAGUAACCUGCCCUUGACUUUGGGAUAACUUCAGGAAACUGGGGCUAAUACCGGAUAGGAGCUCCUGCUGCAUGGUGGGGGUUGGAAAGUUUCGGCGGUUGGGGAUGGACUCGCGGCUUAUCAGCUUGUUGGUGGGGUAGUGGCUUACCAAGGCUUUGACGGGUAGCCGGCCUGGGAGGGUGACCGGGCAAAUUGGGACUGGGAUACGGCCCAGACUCAUACGGGAGGCAGCAGUGGGGAAUAUUGCACAAUGGGCGGAAGCCUGAUGCAGCAACGCCGCGUGCGGGAUGACGGCCUUCGGGUUGUAAACCGCUUUCGCCUGUGACGAAGCGUGAGUGACGGUAAUGGGUAAAGAAGCACCGGCUAACUACGUG
rnacentral:rRNA from 1 species